rnacentral:rRNA from 1 species
GAAAAAAUGGAUAUUAUUAGUUGUGUAGUUAAAUUUAUUUUAAUUUUUAUAUAUUUAAUUUUUAGGUGAAAUUUUAAUUAUAUUAUAUAAAUUUAUUUUGAGCUACGAAAUUUAUUGGAGAAACAAGGAUUAGAUACCCUUCUUUUAUAAAUGUAAAAUUAUGACUAGGGUAGUAAUAGUUAAGUUCUUGAAACCCAAAGAAUUUGGCGGUAUUUUAUUCUUUUCAGAGGAACCUGUCCUGUAAUUGACAUUCCACGAGGAGAGUUACUUAUUUUUGUUAAUCAGUUUGUAUACCUCCGUCAUCAGAGUGUCUUUUUAGAGUGAACAUUCUGUUAAUAUUUAUGUAUGUUAUGUCAGGUCAAGGUGCAAUUUAUAAAUAAGUAGAGAUGGGUUACAAUAUAUUAAUAUAUACGAAUUAUAACAAUUAAUGGUUAUACGAAGGUGGAUUUGAAAGUAAAAUUAAUAUCUUAUUAUUUUGAUUUUAGCUCUAGAAUAUGCACACAUCGCCCGUCGCUCUUAUUUUAAGAUAAGAUAAGUCGUAACAAAGUAGAUGUAUCGGAAGAUGUAUCUAGAAAGGAA